rnacentral:sRNA from 1 species
GCCUUUGUGAUGACAAAGCAUUUUAAUUUGUUUUAUAUGAUAUUCUUAUCCCAAUAUUGAUGAAAAUAGGAAGAACUGAGAAAGGCU